CUGACAGCCCUGGAGAGUGAUAGUCUCUCCAUCAUCCCAGAACACAUACAGACAGCAUGGGCACCAGUGCCAGCUUCCCCCAUUGCCCUGCUAAUGUGCUUCAACCUUGCCCUUGAAAGAUCAGACUCUAGAGGGGAGAAAGCUCAGUCGCCUUAGCUUCCCUAUUAUACUGCC
rnacentral:sRNA from 1 species